rnacentral:rRNA from 1 species
GAUGAACGCUGGCGGCGUGCCUAAUACAUGCCAGUCGAGCGAACGGACGAGAAGCUUGCUUCUCUGAUGUUAGCGGCGGACGGGUGAGUAACACGUGGAUAACCUACCUAUAAGACUGGGACAACUUCGGGAAACCGGAGCUAAUACCGGAUGAUAUUUUGAACCGCAUGGUUCAAAAGUGAAAGACGGUCUUGCUGUCACUUAUAGAUGGAUCCGCGCUGCAUUAGCUAGUUGGUAAGGUAAUGGCUUACCAAGGCAACGAUGCAUAGCCGACCUGAGAGGGUGAUCGGCCACACUGGAACUGAGACACGGUCCAGACUCCUACGGGAGGCAGCAGUAGGGAAUCUUCCGCAAUGGGCGAAAGCCUGACGGAGCAACGCCGCGUGAGUGAUGAAGGUCUUCGGAUCGUAAAACUCUGUUAUUAGGGAAGAACAUAUGUGUAAGUAACUGUGCACAUCUUGACGGUACCUAAUCAGAAAGCCACGGCUAACUACGUG